AGGCUCAGGUAUGUCUUUAUUACCAGUUACAAGAAUGAAUUGGAGUGGCAUGAAGCAUGAGAUAAGCAGACCACUUACAAGACUGUUGCAGUUGUAAAGCAUAGGAUGACAGGACUGGAUUAAGGUUCUUGAGGAUACAAUCAACCAAGGUACACUUUAAAUUAAAGCAGAUAUAUGGAUAAAACAGGAAAAAUACAAGGAUAUUCAAUAUCAACAUUUCCAUUAAGAAUUGUACUGGGGCAUCUGGCCAACAGAAUUCAGAGCCCCAGCCUGUUCAUAAAAAAAAUCAGAUGAAUUUUGUCUGCGGAACAUUCUGCAAAAAUAUCUGACCAGUAAGUAAUCCUCUAAAUAGCCACAGCCAUCAACAGCAAGGAAAGUCUGAGAAAGUGUCACAGCCAAGAGGACCCUAUAAAGACAUGAUGACUAAAUGUAACAUGGUGUCUUCCAUGGGAUCCUGAAACAGAAAAAGGACAUUAGUCCUAGCUACUCCGGAGGCUGAGGCAGGAGGAUCACCUGAGCCCAGGACUUUGAGGCCGCUGUAAGCUAUGAUCAUGCCACUGCACUCCAGCUCAGGCAACAGUGAGACCCGGUCUCAACAAACAAAAGAAAAUAAAAGAAUGGUAGACAAG
rnacentral:lncRNA from 10 species